GAUGAACGCUGGCGGCGUGCCUAAUACAUGCAAGUCGAGCGAACGGACGAGAAGCUUGCUUCUCUGAUGUUAGCGGCGGACGGGUGAGUAACACGUGGAUAACCUACCUAUAAGACUGGGAUAACUUCGGGAAACCGGAGCUAAUACCGGAUGAUAUUUUGAACCGCAUGGGUCAAAAGUGAAAGACGGUCUUGCUGUCACUUAUAGAUGGAUCCGCGCUGCAUUAGCUAGUUGGUAAGGUAACGGCUUACCAAGGCAACGAUGCAUAGCCGACCGGAGAGGGUGAUCGGCCACACUGGAACUGAGCCGCGGUCCCGGCUCCUACGGGACGGCGCAGUCGGCAAUCUUCCGCAAUAGGCGGGAGCCUUGCGGAGCGACGCCGCGUGAGUGGUAACGGUCUUCGGAUCGUAAAACCCUGUUAUUGGGGAAGAACAUAUGUGUAAGUAACUGUGCACAUCUUGACGGUACCUAAUCAGAAAGCCACGGCUAACUACGUG
rnacentral:rRNA from 1 species